AGUCGAACGGUAAGGCCUCUUCGGGGGUACACGAGUGGCGAACGGGUGAGUAACACGUGGGUGACCUGCCCUGUACUUCGGGAUAAGCCUGGGAAACUGGGUCUAAUACCGGAUAUGACCUUCCUCUGCAUGGGGGUUGGUGGAAAGCUUUUGCGGUACUGGAUGGGCCCGCGGCCUAUCAGCUUGUUGGUGGGGUAAUGGCCUACCAAGGCGACGACGGGUAGCCGGCCUGAGAGGGCGACCGGCCACACUGGGACUGAGACACGGCCCAGACUCCUACGGGAGGCAGCAGUGGGGAAUAUUGCACAAUGGGCGAAAGCCUGAUGCAGCGACGCCGCGUGAGGGAUGACGGCCUUCGGGUUGUAAACCUCUUUCAGUAGGGACGAAGCGCAAGUGACGGUACCUACAGAAGAAGCACCGGCCAACUACGUGCCAGCAGCCGCGGUAAUACGUAGGGUGCGAGCGUUGUCCGGAUUUACUGGGCGUAAAGAGCUCGUAGGCGGUUUGUCACGUCGUCUGUGAAAACCCGAGGCUUAACCUCGGGCCUGCAGGCGAUACGGGCAGACUUGAGUACUGUAGGGGAGACUGGAAUUCCUGGUGUAGCGGUGGAAUGCGCAGAUAUCAGGAGGAACACCGGUGGCGAAGGCGGGUCUCUGGGCAGUAACUGACGCUGAGGAGCGAAAGCGUGGGUAGCGAACAGGAUUAGAUACCCUGGUAGUCCACGCCGUAAACGGUGGGUACUAGGUGUGGGUUUCCUUCCACGGGAUCCGUGCCGUAGCUAACGCAUUAAGUACCCCGCCUGGGGAGUACGGCCGCAAGGCUAAAACUCAAAGGAAU
rnacentral:rRNA from 1 species